rnacentral:rRNA from 1 species
UACGUAGGGGGCAAGCGUUGUCCGGAAUCACUGGGCGUAAAGAGCGUGUAGGCGGCCAGAUAAGUCCGCUGUGAAAUCUCGAGGCUCAACUUCGAGCUGUCGGUGGAAACUGUCUGGCUAGAGUCCGGAAGAGGAGAAUGGAAUUCCUGGUGUAGCGGUGAAAUGCGCAGAUAUCAGGAAGAACGCCCGUGGCGAAGGCGGUUCUCUGGGACGGUACUGACGCUGAGACGCGAAAGCGUGGGGAGCGAACAGG